rnacentral:rRNA from 1 species
GGACGGGUGAGUAAUGCAUCGGAACGUGCCCUGAAGUGGGGGAUAACGCAGCGAAAGCUACGCUAAUACCGCAUAUUCUGUGAGCAGGAAAGCAGGGGAUCGCAAGACCUUGCGCUUUGGGAGCGGCCGAUGUCGGAUUAGCUAGCUGGUGGGGUAAAGGCCUACCAAGGCGACGAUCCGUAGCGGGUCUGAGAGGAUGAUCCGCCACACUGGGUCUGAGACACGGCCCAGACUCCUACGGGAGGCAGCAGUGGGGAAUUUUGGACAAUGGGCGGAAGCCUGAUCCAGCCAUGCCGCGUGAGUGAAGAAGGCCUUCGGGUUGUAAAGCUCUUUCGGCGGGGAAGAAAUUGCUUGGGUUAAUACCCUGAGUAGAUGACGGUACCCGACUAAGAAGCACCGGCUAACUACGUGCCAGCAGCCGCGGUAAUACGUAGGGUGCGAGCGUUAAUCGGAAUUACUGGGCGUAAAGCGUGCGCAGGCGGUUUUGUAAGUCAGAUGUGAAAUCCCCGGGCUCAACCUGGGAACUGCAUUUGAGACUGCAAGACUGGAGUUUGGCAGAGGGGGGUGGAAUUCCACGUGUAGCAGUGAAAUGCGUAGAGAUGUGGAGGAACACCGAUGGCGAAGGCAGCCCCCUGGGCCAAUACUGACGCUCAUGCACGAAAGCGUGGGGAGCAAACAGGAUUAGAUACCCUGGUAGUCCACGCCCUAAACGAUGUCAACUAGGUGUUGGGAGGGUUAAACCUUUUAGUGCCGUAGCUAACGCGUGAAGUUGACCGCC